CGGGGUGUGGCUCAGUUUGGCUAGAGCGCUACCUUAGGGAGGUAGAGGCCGCAAGUUCGAAUCUUGUCACUCCGACUA
rnacentral:tRNA from 1 species